GAUUAGGCAUGCAAGUCGAACGAGGGAGUACCCCGAAAGGGGUACAAACCGAGUGGCGUAAGGGUGAGUAAUGCAUUGAUAACCUACCUUUGUGAUGAGGAUAACAACGUUUCAAGUAAUUGAAAUUACCGAAAGGGUUGCUAAUACUCAACAAAACUAUUGUUACUUUGGUAACGAUAGUCAAAUAGGUGGAGUCGAAAGGCUUCAUUUGCUCAGAGAGGGGUCAAUGUCCUAUCAGCUAGUUGGUAGGGUAACGGCCUACCAAGGCGAAGACGGGUAGCCGGCCUGAGAGGGUGGUCGGCCACACUGGGACUGAGACACUGCCCAGACUCCUACGGGAGGCUGCAGUCGAGAAUCUUUCGCAAUGCCCGAAAGGGUGACGAAGCGACGCCGCGUGCGGGAAGAAGGCCUUCGGGUUGUAAACCGCUGUCGGGAGUUAAGAAAUGUAGAGAUGUUAAUAGCGUCUUUGCUUGACUAAGGCUCCGGAGGAAGCCACGGCUAACUCUGUGCCAGCAGCCGCGGUAAUACAGAGGCGGCAAGCGUUGUUCGGAAUUAUUGGGCGUAAAGAGCACGUAGGCGGCUAUGUAAGUCGGUUGUGAAAGCCUUCCGCUCAACGGGAGAACAGCAUCCGAUACUGCAUGGCUUGAGUGCGGGAGGGGAGAGUGGAACUUCUGGUGGAGCGGUGAAAUGCGUAGAUAUCAGAAGGAACGCCGGCGGCGAAAGCGGCUCUCUGGCCCAUAACUGACGCUGAGUGUGCGAAAGCUAG
rnacentral:rRNA from 1 species